rnacentral:rRNA from 1 species
CGCCUCUUGACUAAAUAUAAGAGGUCCAGCCUGCCCAGUGACUAAUGUUCAACGGCCGCGGUAUCCUAACCGUGCGAAGGUAGCGUAAUCACUUGUUCUUUAAAUGGGGACUUGUAUGAAUGGCAUCACGAGGGUUAUACUGUCUCCUUUUUCCAAUCAGUGAAUCUAAUCUCCCCGUGAAGAAACGGGGAUUCAACUAUAAGACGAGAAGACCCUAUGGAGCUUUAAAUACCUCUUCAAACGUUGGACCUUUCCCCCAGUUUUUAACUCACUUAUAUUAACCCUGAACGCCAUGAAGACAACUUUUAGGUUGGGGUGACCGCGGAGAACAACAAAACCUCCACGCUGAAUCAGACUUUCUAAGCCUGAACUAAGAGCCACCGCUCAAUGCACUAAAAAAUUAACAUCUAUUGACCCAAUACAUCACUUGAUCAACGAACCAAGUUACCCUAGGGAUAACAGCGCAAUCCAUUUCAAGAGUCCAUAUCGACAAGUGGGUUUACGACCUCGAUGUUGGAUCAGGGUAUCCCAGUGGUGCAGCCGCUACUAAUGGUUCGUUUGUUCAACGAUUAAAACCC